UCCUCGAUCCCUCCUCUGCCUCUGCUCCGUCGCCUCUGUGCGAACUAGCGGAACGUCUUGCCUUGCUCAAGCCGACGGGUUCGUGUUAAAUAGAUGGGGCGCACCUCCCAUAACAGCGCAUACAUGCGGUUUGGAUUACAAGCUUGGAGAUCAAGAAAGGAGAUAGAGAUAAGAGGUUACAUGAGAUAAACAAGAUACUCUAACAACCUAACUACCUUAACUAUCUCCUAUGAGAUGCGCCGGUCACAUAACAUGACGUGUUUAACACCCUCCCUUAAUCACAACUCCAUGAGGUUGAGAUUAUACUUGAAGUUUUCAAAACUCUUGACUGGCAAUGCCUUUGUGAAUCCAUCUGCAAUUUGAUCUCUGGAGUGCACAAAACGAAUGUCAAGUUGCUUAUGAGCUACCCUCUCUCUGACAAAAUGAAAGUCUAUCUCAAUGUGUUUGGUCCUAGCAUGAAACACUGGAUUAGCUGAAAGAUAGGUGGCACCAAGAUUGUCACACCACAAACAUGGGGCCUGUUGACUCUGUAUACCAAGUUCCUUGAGCAUGGAUUGAACCCAUAUGAUUUCAGAUGUGGCAUUGGCCAAUGCCUUAUAUUCUGCCUCUGUACUCGAUCUGGAGACUGUAGCUUGCUUACGAGCACACCAUGAAAUUAAGUUGGGUCCAAAGAAAACAGCAAAACCACCAGUAGAGCGUCUAUCAUCAAGACAGCCUGCCCAAUCAGAAUCAGAAAAAGCACUGACAAGAGUAGAAGAUGACUUGCUAAAAUUGAGACCCAUGCUCAAUGUGUUUUUGACAUAUCUGACUAUGCGUUUGGCAGCAGUUAAAUGAACAGUUGUAGGUGCAUGAAGGAACUGACAUACUUUGUUGACAGCAAACGAAAUAUCAGGCCUGGUAAGAGUAAGAUAUUGAAGUGCCCCUACCAAGCUUCUGUAUUUGGUACUGUCCUCUUGAGUCAAGAGAGUCCCUUGUGUAAGAGAUAAUUUUUCUGAGCUGGAUAAUGGAGUAGGUGUAGGUUUACAACCCUGUAGACCAGCUUUCCUUACCAAGUCAACUGCAUACUUUUCUUGGGAGAGAUGAAGUCCAUCCUUGUGCCUCUUUACUUCAAUCCCAAGAAAAUAAUGCAAGUCUCCAAGAUCCUUCAAGGCAAAAUCUGCACUCAAAUCUUUUAACAGUCCUGUGAUGGCUUCAUCAGAUGAGCUUGUCACAAUAAUAUCAUCAACAUAUAUUAAGACAAAUAUGCAUGUAUUGGACUUGUUGUAGAUGAACAGAGAGGUGUCAGAUUUUGAAGGGACAAAACCAAGUGUUUGCAUUUUGUGACAGAGACGAGAGUACCAUGCUCUUGGUGCCUGUUUCAAACCAUAAAGUGCUUUGUCCAACUUGCAAACAUGAGAGGGUGCACUUUUACUUACAAACCCAGGAGGUUGUUUCAUGUAUACCUCCUCUUCCAGAACACCAUGAAGAAACGCAUUCUGAACAUCAAGUUGCCCGAGACUCCAUCCCCUGGAAACGGCAAUAGACAAAACAAGACGGAUAGUGGCAGCCUUAACAACUGGACUAAAAGUGUCCUCGUAGUCUAUGCCAUACCGUUGUUUAAAACCUUUUGCAACGAGCCUAGCUUUGUAGCGAUCAAUAGUUCCAUCAGAUUUUCUCUUUAUUCUGAAUACCCACUUGCAAUCAAUUAAAUUUUUACCUUGCUGUGGGGGAACCAAAUGCCAAGUUUUAUUCUUCUUGAGUGCCAUGUAUUCUUCAUUCAUAGCAUUUUUCCAUCUUUCAUCACCAAGUGCUUCCUGAAGUGUCCGAGGUUCACCUGGUUCACCUGUGGAACAGACCAUACCGUAUUUGGUUAUGUGUUUAUAAUUAACAGGAUGUAUUACCCCAUGCUGGAGUCGUGUAUGUCGUGGCGGUGCAGCAUUGGGAUCCCCGGCCACAGAAAAUCCCGAGGCAGAAGCUCCUGUAGCAGAAUCAGCUCCCGCCGGAUCUUCUGUGACAGUUUGAUCAGGUGCAGCGUGUUCUGUAUGCACAGAAGAUCCCGGGGCCUCAUCAUUGGAGGAUGAUGGCAGAUCAGCCUCGAGGCGGACGCCGAUCUGCUGUGCACGCGUGGGCGCACAGGAGUCCACGCCCGGUCCCGCAGCAGACCGGGACCCCGCGUCGUGUCGGCGAAUCUGGUCGCGCCGCUUGUACGUGACCGGCUGGUCACGGAAGCGCGCGUCGUCCUGGCGAACCUCAGGCUGCCGCGUGUCGAGCGAGGGUUGGCGCGGAGAGACGCUGGAGCCGCCGCCAAUUGGAGCGUGACGUGCGUCGCGCGCUGGGCUGGAGACAGCCGCACGAUCGGCUGGCGCUGUCGCCUGCGCGUCUGGCGCGUCAGCCGGCACCCAUCCCAAGGGGGAUCCGCUGAACUGCUGCUGCGGUGCCAAUCCCGAGGAGGAUUUGCCUCCUGGAUGCGGACACAUGCGAUGUGGGACUGCCGGCGCGUUUUUUUCACUUGUUUCUUCAUUAUUUUCGCUGCUGUCUCCUGGAACAUCAUCAAAAAACUCAUGCGCACCAUUAGUAGCAGGAUUAGUCAACAGUUGAUCAUCAUAAUUCGGACCCCCUGGAUCAAUGGUGGUAAGAUGAGUAGGUAGGAGGAGAAUUUCUUCUCGGAGGCGAGCACCGGCGUUUGGAUGUAGGGUAGCGGAGGGGAAGUUGGUUUCAUCAAAAACGACAUCGCGAGAUAUGUAGACACGGCCAGUGGAUAUAUCUAAACACUUGACACCUUUGUGUUGAGGGCUAUACCCGAGAAAAACACAUUGUUUUGAGCGGAGCAUGAGUUUUCUUUUGUUGUAUGGGCGAAGGUUGGGCCAACAAGCACACCCAAACACAUGAAGAGAUUUAUAGUCUGGUUUGACAUGAAGGAGUCUUUCUACUGGAGUUUGAUUGUUGAUGACUCGACUAGGGAGCAUAUUGAUGAUGUGGACGGCAGUAAGAAAGGCCUCAUCCCAAAAUUUUAGGGGCAUGUAGGCUCCUGCCAAGAGAGCUAGCCCAACCUCAACUAUGUGUCUCUGCUUCCUUUCAGCAGAGUCAUUCUGUUGAUGGGCAUGAGGGCAUGAUACAUGGUGUGAUAUGCCAAGUGUUUGGAAGGAGUUGAGUUUUUCAUACCCCCCCUCCCCCCCAGUCCGAUUGGACUGCAAUAAUUUUGCUAUCAAAUUUUCGUUCAACCAAGGCUUGAAAGUUUUGGAAAACUUGAAAGACUUCGGAUCUCUUUUUGAGAAGAUAAAUCCACACAAACUUGCUAUAGUCAUCUAUGAAGCUUACAUAAUACUCAUGUCUACCAACAGAAGUGGGAGCAGGACCCCACACAUCAGAAAAAAUCAAUUGAAGUGGUUUGGUAGAGACACUAGUAGAUAUUGGACAAGGUAAUUGAUGACUUUUAGCACAUUGGUAGGAAUCACAAAUAGUUUCGACAUUUCUCUCACCAACAAAUGGGAGUUUAUUUUUCCUAAGCAAUCUUUCAACUAAAGAAAAAGCAGCAUGCCCUAAUCGAUCGUGCCACCGUGUUGACGAAACUUUGACAACACCAUUGGCUUGUUUAUUGAGUCUCCUAAGCUCCGGAAGCAACGGGUAAAGCCCUCGAACACAUCUACCUCGAUAGAGAACCUUCUUCGUGGCCUGGUCCUUGAUCAAAAAGAAAUAGGGAUGAAAUUCGAGGAAAACAUGAUUAUCAAGGGCAAUUCUAUGAACCGAGAGAAGACUUUUGGCGGCACUAGGAACAUGCAAAAUUUUCUUGAGAUGAAUAGGACGAUGAGGGGUACGAAAAGUAGAAUGACCAAUGUGACAAAUCUGCAUACCUUCUCCACUUGCCGUGUGGAUGUGGUCUUUUCCACGGUAUUUUUCCUUCAUCGUGACCUUCUCAAGCUCAUUGGUGAUGUGGUUGGUGGCGCCGCUAUCAACAUACCAAUUUGUGUCGAUGCCGUAGGAUCCAUCAGCCGUGGCAGCCACCUUUUCUUCAUCUUGAGAGUCCUCGUCAUCUUCGUCAUAACGGUACCAGCAGUCCCGCGCGGUGUGCCCUGGCUUACCGCAGAUUUGACAGCGAGGGAGCUCCGGACGGGCCCGAGGUGGACCGCCGCCGCGGCGACCGCGAGAUGCACCAGAGCGGCUGUUGCCGCUGCCGCUGUUUCCACCACCACCGUGACCUCCAGAGCGUCCUUUUGCGCGAGAGGCGCCACGACCACGUGAUCCACCGCCACGACCACGCACGGCAGCGUUGGCAGAGGAACGGAAGCCGCCGCUGCCCGAGUGGUUGAACUGAGCCAUGCGCUGGUCGAAGUUGCUGAGCAUGGCGUAGAGCUCGUCGAGGGAGACCGGUGUGACGCGUGCGUCGAGGGCGGAGACGAGGGGCUGGUAGUCGACGUCGAGGCCGUGGAUGAUGUAGGAGAUGAGUUCGUCGUCUUGGAUGGCCUUCCCGGCCGCGGCGAGCUCGUCGGCGAGACCACGGAGGGAGGCGAAGUAGGCAGCAACUGUUUGGUUGCCCUUCUGCGCGUUGAUGAGCGCCGUCCUGAUAUUAUUCACGCGGCUCAUGGACUGCGAGGAAAACAUACCUGCCACCGCUGUCCAGAGCGCGUGCGCCGUGGUGACCGUGGUCACCGCGAUGAGAACCUCCUUGGAGAGGGUGCUGAGUAAGUAACCCAGCACCUGUUGAUCCUCCCGAACCUAGAUGGGGUGGAGAGGGUUGGGCUCAGCACUUUCUUUGCCAUCCUUGUCCUUGGUGACAUGAAGCCUGGCUGGCUCCGGUGUGGUGCCGUCGACGUAGCCGAAGACACCGGCGCCACGCAGAUGAGGGGUGACCUGCGUGCGCCAGAGCACGUAGUUCGUGCGUGUUAGCUUCUCGGUGACCUGUCCAUUGAGGGUGGUCUGGGAAGCACCGGAGGAGGAGGAGGAAGACAUGGCUAGGCUCGGUAGAUGGGAUCUCAGUAGAUGGGAAGAGAUGGGGCUCUGAUUACCAUGUGCGAACUAGCGGAACGUCUUGCCUUGCUCAGGCCGACGGGUUCGUGUUAAAUAGAUGGGGCGCACCUCCCAUAACAGCGCAUACAUGCGGUUUGGAUUACAAGCUUGGAGAUCAAGAAAGGAGAUAGAGAUAAGAGGUUACAUGAGAUAAACAAGAUACUCUAACAACCUAACUACCUUAACUAUCUCCUAUGAGAUGCGCCGGUCACAUAACAUGACGUGUUUAACAG
rnacentral:lncRNA from 1 species